UACGUAGGGUGCAAGCGUUAAUCGGAAUUACUGGGCGUAAAGCGUGCGCAGGCGGUUAUAUAAGACAGUUGUGAAAUCCCCGGGCUCAACCUGGGAACUGCAUCUGUGACUGUAUAGCUAGAGUACGGUAGAGGGGGAUGGAAUUCCGCGUGUAGCAGUGAAUGCGUAGAUAUGCGGAGGAACACCGAUGGCGAAGGCAAUCCCCUGGACCUGUACUGACGCUCAUGCACGAAAGCGUGGGGAGCAACAGG
rnacentral:rRNA from 1 species